AUACGGAGGGUGCGAGCGUUGUUCGGAAUUAUUGGGCGUAAAGAGCAUGUAGGCGGUCUGUUAAGUCUGGUGUGAAAGCCCGGGGCUCAACCCCGGAAGUGCAUUGGAUACUGGCAGACUUGAGUAUGGGAGAGGAAAGCGGAAUUCCGAGUGUAGGAGUGAAAUCCGUAGAUAUUAGGAGGAACACCAGUGGCGAAGGCGGCUUUCUGGACCAAUACUGACGCUGAGAUGCGAAAGCGUGGGGAGCAAACAGGAUUAGAAACCCUAGUAGUCC
rnacentral:rRNA from 1 species